UGCAUUAUUCCACUACCAGUUUUUUUUUUUUUUUUUAGUCUGAACCACUAUCAGCUUCAAUUGCACUAGUUAUCUAAUCAGACGUGCAACCUUCUAAAACCAAAGAAAUGAUAAUUACAAACGUGACUUGUCUUCAUGGGUAAAAAGAAUUUUACUCAUACCAGACAACCUGAAAGCAACUUAGGCCUCGUUUAACUAUUAAAAAAGCAAAGUUGUCCCUUUGGGAACGCUGAAGGAAAUGAAACGUUUUCAUGAAGGGAAAGGAAAUAUGAGGGGAAGUAGUUUCUUCCAAAAUCCAAAAUAAACAACUUUCUUAUCUCAUUUUCUUGCAUUUAGUACUCACAACACAUUAUUUUAUUACACUAUUUAACAACUGUCUGGAUGAGUUGUUUUACGUCACCAAACAUCGCAAUAGAAGGUACUCGGGAAUUGUCGUUUCCCUUCUUGUAGGAAAAACAAAUGAAUUACUUUCAUUUCAACGAAACAAAUGAGACCUUAGUGAAACUACCUUAAAGUUCAACCAGCAUGAAAGUAAAAUUGUAACAAACUACGACCGAAAGGGUUAAGAGAAACUCAAACACUAGCUUAUUCUAACACAAGGAACCACCAUACGCAAAUGGGGGUCACCCAAGGUUGUCCUUUUCAACCACCAUCGCUAAAGCCACCAUAGCAAGGAAUGAAGCCUAAUCCUAAGAGAAGUCCCCCAACAAAACCUUACCCCAACAUGAACACCAAGCCUAAAAGAAAACCCAAUACCAUUAAGGGCACCUAUAAAGUGAUAAAACUGGGCACCCUAUCGUCCUUCCCAUAGUCGAAACCUCAACAGUGCAAUCUUCCUCAACGAAGGCACCCCCGCCUAGACCUCCAACCCCAAAGCUUGAUGGAGAUUGAGACCACUACCAGCUUGUAAUCUGCCACCAUACCAACCAACAUAUCCGGAAACCCUGAACAGUUGCCCAAAACAUAGAGCCCGACAAUAGGGUAGCAAGGGUUCGACUGGUGGAUUCGACAACACCGCAACUUGUUAAACAACGACAAACAUGACCCGUAAAUCAUCUUGUACCAAUGUAUUAUAUACAAUUACGCCCCAAACCCGAACUAAUGUGACACCUCUGACUUCACCCCUCGACACCUAGCGCUCACCGCCGCCAUCAACAAUACCAUCACUUGCAACUUAGAUAAGUACUGCCUAGAUCCCUUCCAUCACGACUCCAUAUCCACUCAAAAUGCCAAUUCUCGCUCUAGAAUCUCCUCUUUGUCGAAUCCCGAAGCCAUCCCUCCACCAGCGAAAUUGACAAGGCCAAGAAGACAUAG
rnacentral:lncRNA from 1 species